AUUGAACGCUGGCGGCAGGCCUAACACAUGCAAGUCGAGCGAGCGGCGGACGGGUGUGUAAUGUAUGGGGACUGCCCGAUAGAGGGGGAUAACUACUGGAAACGGUGGCUAAUACCGCAUACUAUCGGAUAACCCAUAUGGGACUAGCUAGUAGGUGGGGUAAAGGCUCACCUAGGCGACGAUCUCUAGCUGGUCUGAGAGGAUGAUCAGCCAAACUGUAACUGAGAUACGGCCAAGAAGCCGACGGAGGAAGGAGUGGGGAAGAUGGCGCAAUGGGCGAAAGCCUGAUGGAGCCAUGCCGCGUGUAUGAAGAAGGCCUUAGGGUUGUAAAGUUCUAUCAGCGGGGAGGCGGUACCCGCAGAAGAAGCACCGGCUAACUCCGUGCCAGCAGCCGCGGUAAUAC
rnacentral:rRNA from 1 species